rnacentral:rRNA from 28 species
AGAAUGACUCUCGGCAACGGAUAUCUAGGCUCUUGCAUCGAUGAAGAACGUAGCGAAAUGCGAUACUUGGUGUGAAUUGCAGAAUCCCGUGAACCAUCGAGUCUUUGAACGCAAGUUGCGCCCGAUGCCAUUAGGUUGAGGGCACGUCUGCCUGGGUGUCACA